rnacentral:lncRNA from 1 species
GCUCAGAACACUGCAAUUUUAAUCCUAAGUUUUUUAAACCUAUAACUCGUUUAAAGACUGUUCAGUGUUUUACUAUCCUUAAUCCACCCAGAAAUGUGACAUUCACUGUCCUGCUAACACUUUGCGUCCUUUCCUGCUUGUAUCGUCACCUGUUCCUACCCAUGGAGAGCGAAAGAGCUUAUUUUCCAGGAGCUCGUAGCCAACUCCUUUUGUACUCUAAGUUUCUGGAUGAAGGGCAUCCAAGAGUACAAGAAACAUACAGGAGAGAAAACGGGACGUGGAACCUCUGGACUGCAUUAUUGCACUUUGUAGUAAUGAUUCUGCUGGCAGGGGAUGUUGAAUUAAAUCCUGGACCGCAGGGGCUAGUGGCAGAGCCUGACAGGUUAGCUCCGAUGACGCUAAUGCCACCAGCUGUGUGGCUCGGACUAGCGUCGAAAUUACUACAACCUGCAGCGGACCUCGGGCUACCACUGGAGCAAUGCCAACCUGCAGUGGUCCACGGACUAGAUUUGGAGCUAUGUCAACCUGCAGCGGGAUACAGGCUAGCAUUGGAGCUACAUCCACCUGCAGUGGGCUACGGGUUAGCUUUGAAGCUGCACCCACCUGCAGCGGGCCUCAGGCUAGUAUUGAAACCAUGUCCACCUGCGGUUGGAGGCGAGCUAGCAUUGGAGCUUCCACAUCCAGCAGCAGGCCGCAGGCUAGCACCUGAGCCACGAACGCCUGCAACUGGUGGCGGGCUAGCAUCGGAGCUUCCAUCUCCAGCGGCAGGCCACAGGCUGGCACAUGAACCACGAACGGCUGCAACUGGCGACGGGUUGGCAUCGGAGCGUCCACCUCCAGCGGCGGGUAGCAGGUUGGCACCUGAGCCACGAACACCAGCAGUUGGCGGCAGGCUAGCAUCGGAGCUUUCCUCUCCAGCGGCAGGCAGCAGACUAGUACCUGAGCUACGACCACGAGCAGCGGGGCUCAUUGGACUAGCGACAGGGCUGAUAAAACGUCCACCACCAUAACCUACAACUACUACGGUAUCAAACAGACAAUUGCAAACUAAACUUUUUCAAACUGUUAACCAUGCGAAAAUUCUAUGGGACUCUGAAGCUAAACCAAAGGGGAUUUUUGGUGGUCACAUCAAUAUUAGAAGCCUUCCAUAUAAAACGGAAAAAUUGAAAAAUUAUUAUAUGAUUCAAGUUUGGACUACCUAGGGCUCA